ACCCCAAGGCCCCAGGCCCAACAUUAGGAAAACUAACCCCUGUGCCCUGAAGCUGCAAGAUGUUCCCUUACCCAACCCCCAUGUCAAAACCCCACCAGCUGCACGUAGCACUUCAAGUCUCGCACAAUGUUACCACAAGAUGUUCCAUAUAGAUAACCCCAGAAGGGCCAAACUUGAGCAAACAGGGUAAAAACAGGAACUAAAAGGACAGGAUGCAAUUUUAUGAUUUUUCUGAGAACUAAAGUGGGAAAACAAGUUUACCCCCCUAGGUGACUCAACUGCUGAAUUCAGAGGGACCAAUAGGAAGGCUGUUGCUGUGCUAAGCUAAGACCUAACCCACCUGUUCCCUAUAAAAGAUCUAUACCCCAAAGCCCGGUGUGCCAGUUCACCGAAGCUCCGGCUGAGGUUUUGCUGUGCACCCGCAGGCGCCUGUGUGAGAAUAAACGCCUCCUGCUUUUUGCAGCCAGUGUCUCGUGUGGUUCAUUCCGGGUUUGGGAUCUGUGGAUAUUUCAUUGUGGAGGCCCCACCGAGAUCCAAGAUCCCGGUUCCGGUUCCGAUCCCGGUCCCUAUCCGGAGGACACCCGACAUCACUGGGAGGUAUACAAGUCUGUAAGGUAAAAGCUUCAAAAGAACAUUAUAUCAAGCUGGUGUUCUAAAGUUGUAUGGUAAUUUUAGGCUUAAAAAAAAAAAUGUUGAAAAUUCGAUUAUAUCAUUUGUGUUCUAUAACUGAACUUGUUAUCAAUAAGAUAUGUACAGUUCCAUGUUACUUUCUACUCUAAGAUACAAUUUAUGUAUUUUUAAGUUAAUAAGAGCCUAAUCUGUGUGAAGGUUUAAUUGCAAAACACAAAAGUACAUUACUACUUUUCUACAAGAAGUUAAAAGCUUUCAGCCUUUAAUUCAUAUUUUAGGUGUGAUAUUAUGUUGUGUUAGCUAAUGUUCAUGUAAACUUGAACAACAAUUUAUGUAAACUUUGUAAAAUGAUCAGCUUCAGAACUAUAGUACUUGAGAUUUAUAAAGAGCCCUGCCUUACUUGAGAUAAGGCUCUGUCCCAUCUCACUACAUGUGAAAAUGGCUAUAAAAAAAGUAAGCCAGAUUUCAGUACAGUUAAAGUUGUGUCCAAAAGUAGGUUUUUGCCAAGAUUACUAGGAUCUCAAACAGGAAAUUAUGAUGUAUAACCUUGCCAGAAUUCAAGGUAGCUAUUAUAUAAGCUAAAUAUGUUUUUACCCUAGUUAGUUUUGUUUUGUAGUUUGCUUAUAGAUGGUUUAAGGAUUGCCUAUUAAUAUUCUAAAGAGGUAUUGCUUUAAGAACACAACCUGGGUCAACAUAAGAUAAAGAGUUAUCACCUACAGGAUAGAGAGAUAGACAUUAAAGCCCAGUGCUCUUAAUAUAAGGCUGUUAACUUAUUUGCUGGAUGUUUAAGAUCAAGUUUUUAAAAUUAGUUAAAUUAAAAGGGCCAAAAAAACCAAUAUUUGGCUCUUGCCCUCUGAGUCAGUCUGAAUCAGGGAAUAGGGGACUUCUCCAAAGGGCUCAGCAACUCUAGGCCACAUAACCUCCUGAACAGGGAGAUUAAUGAGACCAGUGGAGGACAGAAAGCCAAAUGGUGCAUUUGCUGUAAAGAGGAGGGUCAUUAAAAAAGGGAGACAUCCCUGAUGCUUCUGAGGGAAGCCAUAUGGUCAAACAAGGCCUGGACCCAUCCUAGCGCAAAUGGCACUAGCAGAACUGAAAAACUGCUAUGAAGUUCCCGAGGACUCCCAGGAUAACUCAGCUGACUGUAAACAAUAGGUAGAAACAAAAGUCAGUUUGACUUGCUUCAUCUUAAACACUUAGCAAAGACAGUCAAAGCCAAAGCACAGCUGUUCCUGGACAUCUUAAAUAAUAAUAAUAAUUAAAUGUAACUUCCAUAAAUAAAUAGACUGGAGGCUACAAGAGAGAUUCUUAGACAGAAAUGCCUGAUAACUGUCAAAGGAACUACUAAAAUAGUUUUAGUCUAAGGCUUUUAUUUCUAGACAACACAGGUAGACUUGAUGUUUGCUAAUAUGGUUAUCCAGCCCUAAGUAGCAGAAUUAAAGAUUUCUCUAUUAGACACAGAGGAAAAACAAAAGGCUCUUUUGGAAGCUCGCAAAAAUGUGCCAGGGGACGACGGGCGCCCCACCCAACUCACAAAUUUGAUUAACGAAGCUUUUCCUUUAACCCGGCCAAACUGGGACUAUGCGACUGAAGCAGGUGAGAACCACCUACAUCUCUAUCGCCAGUUACUCAUAGCGGGUCUCCAUGGAGCAGGGGGGUCUCCAUGGAGCAGGGCGACGGCCCACCAAUUUGGCUCAGGUAAGACAGACUAUCCAGGGGUCAGAGGAAACUCCGACAGCCUUCUUAGAGAAAUUAAAAGAGGCUUAUCGGAGGUUUACUCCCUUUGAUCCUGAUAAUGAGGACCAAAAAGAAAACAUUUAAUGGGCCUGCCUUCGUCUCCCAGGUAAGUCAGGCGGUAGCCAAUACAUUAAAGAUUAAUUAAAAAUUACAUUAUGGUUAUAGACCCCAAAGUUCAGGACAGGUAAAAAAGGUAAAUAGAACCAUUAAGGAGACUUUAACUAAAUUGACACUUAAAACUGGCACUAGAGACUGGGUACAACUCCUACCUUUAGCCUUGAAUGGGGCCCAAAACACCCCAGGCCCACAUGGACUAACCCCAUUUAAAAUCCUGUACGGUGCCCCACCUCCCGCUAUUAACUUUUAUAAAACUAAAACCUAUGCCUCCCUCACCCCAUCUAUGCAGACUCAUUUGCAUGCUUUGCAAUUGGUCCAGAACGAGGUCUGGAAGCCUCUAGCCGCAGCAUACAAAGAGAAACUUAAAACCCCCUUGCUGCCACAUCCCUUCAAGGUCGGAGAUACCGUCUGGGUACGCAGGCACCAGAGCAGGAACCUCGAACCGCGGUGGAAAGGACCCUACACUAUCCUGCUGACCACUCCUACUGCACUCAAAGUGGACGGCAUCGCUGCUUAGAUCCAUGCUUCCCACGUGAAGACUGCACAUCCACAGGAGUCCGCAGACACCUCUCCGGAUCCAGAAUGGAAGUUGCACCGUACCCAAAAUCCGCUAAAGACUCACUCGCUGUUAAUUUUUCUUGCUUUGUGCUGUGUCUUCCCCAUAUCAGUUAACCCCAACCAAUCUGUGAGCCAGACAUGACAAGUAUUAUCGGGGACAAAAAAUAUAAUUUAAAAAAAAAAAAAAAAAAAAAAAACCAUCCGCAAAAUACCCCCUUUGGGCUUGAUGGCCUACCCUAGGGCCUGAAAACUAAGUCGCAGGCACAAAAAUGUGGGCAACAUAAAAGUUACUAUUGUAAGUCUUGGGGAUAUAAAACUACGGGGGAUGCAUAGUAGAAGCCAAGCUCAUCUUAGGAUUUAAUUCAAAUAAAAAAAAAAAAAAAAAAAAACAGGAUCCCCCACUUUCUGCCGACUCUUGCAGGAGCCUGAAAUGGUACGGGGCAGGGCCAUGUACCGCAUUUGCCUGCAACCCCUUAAACAUUACCUUUACUCAGGCAGGCAAAGCAUCAAAAGAUUAGAUAAAAAAAAAAAAAAAACAAUGGGGCCUGAGAGUAUAUCAUAAAACUGCCUAUGACCCUGGGGUCCUAUUCAAAAUUAGAUUAAUAGUAAAUACCAACCCCCAACCAGUAUGCUGAGCCGUCAGCUGAAAUAAUGCUGGAAUCCGAGCAGAUGGGUCAAUGGAUAUAAGAUUAUAUCCAUGAUAUAAAAAAAGGGGGGGAAUGAAGGACCCCAAGGCCCCAGGCCCAACAUUAGGAAAACUAACCCCUGUGCCCUGAAGCUGCAAGAUGUUCCCUUACCCAACCCCCAUGUCAAAACCCCACCAGCUGCACGUAGCACUUCAAGUCUCGCACAAUGUUACCACAAGAUGUUCCAUAUAGAUAACCCCAGAAGGGCCAAACUUGAGCAAACAGGGUAAAAACAGGAACUAAAAGGACAGGAUGCAAUUUUAUGUUUUUUCUGAGAACUAAAGUGGGAAAACAAGUUUACCCCCCUAGGUGACUCAACUGCUGAAUUCAGAGGGACCAAUAGGAAGGCUGUUGCUGUGCUAAGCUAAGACCUAACCCACCUGUUCCCUAUAAAAGAUCUAUACCCCAAAGCCCGGUGUGCCAGUUCACCGAAGCUCCGGCUGAGGUUUUGCUGUGCACCCGCAGGCGCCUGUGUGAGAAUAAACGCCUCCUGCUUUUUGCA